rnacentral:rRNA from 1 species
AUUGAACGCUGGCGGCAGGCCUAACACAUGCAAGUCGAGCGAGCGGCGGACGGGUGAGUACUGUAUGGGGACUGCCCGAUAGAGGGGGAUAACAACUGGAAACGGUAGCUAAUAACGCAUACUAUGGGAUAACAGAUAGGGGAUUAGCUAGUCGGUGAGGGAAUGGCUCACCGAGGCGACGAUCCCUAGCUGGUCUGAGAGGGUGAUCAGCCACACUGGGACUUAGACACGGCCCAGACUCCUACGGAGGCAGCAGUGGGGAAUAUUGCACAAUGGGCGCAAGCCUGAUGCAGCCAUGCCGCGUGUAUGAAGAAGGCCCUAGGGUUGUAAAGUACUUUCAGUCGGGAGGCGUUACCUACAGAAGAAGCACCGGCUAACUCCGUGCCAGCAGCCGCGGUAAUUC